GACUGAAAGGCAUGUUUUUUAUUUAUAUAAACAUACAACAUAGUAUGACUAGUAUGACUAGUCCUCACAGCCACAUAUACUGUAAGCACAGACAACACAUUUGAGGCUAUACGACAAGGCAAAAGCGGUUACAAAUAUCACAUCAGAAAAAGAGAAAAUACAGAGAAUGAAUUGAAACACUUUACACUUACACUUGUUUGAUAACAUAAGGCUUUGGACUCCAGUUUAAAUAAGGCACCACAAGAUACCAAACAAGGUAGAGAGGUUAAAUGUAGCUUAAACAAGUCAAAGGCCACCUGUGAAUGGCAGUGAAUCUAUUUUAUUGUACGGUUUACAUACAAUUGAACCAAAUCCCUGCAUUUUAUAUGGCAUUUUCAACACAAAGAAACUGACCUGAUAAAGGUUAAUUACCCGGGAAAGAUCUAGAAACGAAAAAAGAACAUACGAUUUCAGAUCGUAUUUUUCUAAUACAACAGCUGUGUUCAGGUCCAAAAAAGCCCUUAAACAGAUUGUUUUCCUAUUGUCUUCCGAUUGCCAAGGCCCCUCGCCAGUUAUAAAACAAAGUAAAGAAGAGGUAGAGGAAAAACAACAAGGCAGAGUGAGAAUCGCGUGGCGUUGAGUUAAGGAUGUAACAGGCUUGAGUUUGGAAGGAUAUAGAUAUAGGGUCGCUACAUAGUAUAUCAAUCAAUACACUUGUCCAUCGCAAGAAAUGUAAAGAUUUGCACGUCACAUAGUCAGUGCGUUUACAUGCAGAGUCAUUAUCGGGUAAAUAAAAGAAUAAGACCUCAACAGGACUUUUAAAAUGCAUGUUAACACCUUUACCUGAUCUACCUCGGACAGAAAUCGGUACAUGAACGGACAAGCGAAAUCGGAUAAGAACACCUAGAUAACUCGUUCAUAGUUCGGUUUCUACCUGCAUGUAAACCCGCAUCGUAUCGCACAUCGGAUUCGCGUUCUGCGCACGCUCGAGAUCUUGCGUCCGGGGGACGUGAGCCAGAAGUAGAGGAGACGGUAGUCAUGUUGUAGGCGCCAUUGAGUUAUAAACAUUCUUAUUUCUUUAUAAAUAUUUAAUUAUUUCUUUAGAUGAUUAUGGUUGUCGCCGUCAGAAAACGAGAAAUGGCGAUUUAUUUAUAAAGGUGACGCAUGGUAAUCUAGAACAGGAGGAAGCCGGUGUCAUACCAUUACCAACCCUAUAAGAAGUGUAUCAUCAUCAGCGACCGAACUGACGGGGAUAUUCUCUGAUAUUAUGAAUCUUACAGACUGCGUCUUGUUCUCCGACUCUCUGCUACUUCCACAACAAAGACUCGUAGUGGGGGUUAUCUCGGAGAAGGAAUUAGCGGAAAGGAACUUUGGCUUUGAGUCCACAUUGAAACGCUACAUGGAGGAGAAAGGGAUUGUUGCCGUAUGCGGGACAGCUGUCAGUACACUUCGGGUCCAUGUCAUUUCUCAGACGAUCCAUCGCUCCAACCUCUCGGUCGUAUGCGGACUCCUCCGGCAGCGGAGUAGCGGGAGGAGUCCGCAUACGACCGAGAGGUUUGAACAAUGCAGCGUCGGAGAAAUAACAUGGACCCGAAGUGAACUGACAGCUGUCUACUGAAAACAUCUUUCUUGAAUGCCGCCUGAGUUUGUUGUUGCUUGGACGUAGAGGUCAACCGGAAGUGGCUCUAUAACCGCUCGUUGAAAGGGCUACAGCGCCAGCUAGGGUACGGAUUCAGCCAUGCUCCAACCAUUAUUUGAUUCUCUAAAGGCCAUGUACGUUCGGAUAAUUGACACGGUCCGUUCGAGUAGCAAAAUCGGUAUAAGGCAUAAUCCGAUUUAGCUGUCCCAUGUAAACGCACUGAGUUUCAGACAGUAACAGGUGUCAAAUGCUAGUUUCAAACAUAAAAGUCAAGUUUACGUAUUAGCUUGAUAACCUCACUAAUAGUUUAUUCUCUGUUAGUAUAUACGGCACUAUCUCUUUAAAAAAACUAGCUAAAUAUAUUGUAAAUCAUGCAAUCCCUGAACUUUGAGAAUCUGACCCGACGGAGUCCUUAGAGGAAGCCGAAGUUGAGUUUGUCCGACGUGUAGACGUUCGCAGUGACGCAUUCGGAGUAGAGGGGCGGCGCCAGAUUCAUGCCCUUCAUCUCAAAGCAUGGAUCGGUCUCGGAGGACAGGAAGUUGCUGCCGAAGGAGCUAUCCUGAGUACCAGCCUGGCUUCCUGUAGCUGGCGCCUGGGCAAAGAGAAAG
ensembl:lncRNA